UCUCUCUCUCUCUCUCUCUCUCUCUCUCUCUCUCUCUCUCUCUCUCUCUCUCUCUCUCUCUCUCUCUCUCUCUCUCUCCCUCUCUCUCUUUCUCUAUUUACACUCAGUAUAGUAUGAAAUAGUGUGAUUUCAGUUACAAUUCAACACAGCGGUUUCCCUCUGAAUCAAGGCCUGGGAUUCAAUCUGCAGCUGUGCGAUUGUCUAAUUCGAUCUCACGAAAGAGGUAGCAUUGGCUUUAAAAGCAGCAUUGUCUACAAGCGCGAUCGGAUUGAAUCCCGGUCCAACACUUUUUAUUUUUAUUAUUUUUUAUUUCAUUUGUUCACUUACUUGGAAAAGUUGUUCAGAACUUGUUGUUGUGGCAUUUCACUAGCUUGCAGCACAAACCAACCGUGUGUAUUUUAAAGCUAACGUAAUUGAUAUGAUAAUACCAUUGCAUCUUGGGAUAGAGAUGUCUGAUCUGGACUGAGUUGGUAGGUUUUUUAUUUUUAAAUGUUACCCCUCGGUCAGUUCCCAGACUCCGAGCCGUAUAGAGUACCAUUUUAAUGAAUUUAGGAAAAGUUCAGCUUUCAGGAAUGAAAAAGAAAAAACAAGCUUUUAAAUAGGUUUUAUUAUCUUUUCUACAAGCGCUAUAACAAAAACUAUUGUACAGCGUAAAUUUUUGUAUGAAGUAGUGUUUUUAUUUAGAAUUUUGAAAAAAUGAUUGUGUUCUUCUUGUGUCCCACCUUUUGAAUUUCUGUAGUUGAAAAUGAAAUUCAUAUGAUGCCUUUUAUUCUGAUAGUGCUUGUUAUGAAGUGGUGGGAUAGAUAGGUGAUAACCAUACUGAGCUCUUGUUAUGAUAGGACAGUGGACUGAAGUGGUGGGAUAGAUAGGUGAUAACCAUACUGAGCUCUUGUUAUGAUAGGACUGUGGACUGAAGUGGUGGGAUAGAUAGGUGAUAACCAUACUGAGCUCUUGUUAUGAUAGGACUGUGGACUGAAGUGGUGGGAUAGAUAGGUGAUAACCAUACUGAGCUCUUGUUAUGAUAGGACUGUGGACUGAAGUGGUGGGAUAGAUAGGUGAUAACCAUACUGAGCUCUUGUUAUGAUAGGACUGUGUACUGAAGUGGUGGGAUAGAUAGGUGAUAACCAUACUGAGCUCUUGUUAUGAUAGGACUGUGGACUGAAGUGGUGGUAUAGAUAGGUGAUAACCAUACUGAGCUCUUGUUAUGAUAGGACUGUGGACUGAAGUGGUGGGAUAGAUAGGUGAUAACCAUACUGAGCUCUUGUUAUGAUAGGACUGUGGACUGAAGUGGUGGGAUAGAUAGGUGAUAACCAUACUGAGCUCUUGUUAUGAUAGGACUGUGGACUGAAGUGGUGGGAUAGAUAGGUGAUAACCAUACUGAGCUCUUGUUAUGAUAGGACUGUGGACUGAAGUGGUAGGAUAGAUAGGUGAUAACCGUACUGAGCUCUUGUUAUGAUAGGACUGUGGACUGAAGUGGUGGGAUAGAUAGGUGAUAACCAUACUGAGCUCUUGUUAUGAUAGGACUGUGGACUGAAGUGGUGGGAUAGAUAGGUGAUAACCAUACUGAGCUCUUGUUAUGAUAGGACUGUGGACUGAAGUGGUGGGAUAGAUAGGUGAUAACCAUACUGAGCUCUUGUUAUGAUAGGACUGUGGACUGAAGUGGUGGGAUAGAUAGGUGAUAACCAUACUGAGCUCUUGUUAUGAUAGGACUGUGGACUGAAGUGGUGGGAUAGAUAGGUGAUAACCAUACUGAGAGAUAAAAGAAGAAGAAAAAGCCACUACUUCCCCCGAAGACAAAGGGGUUAUUAAGAACAUACAUACAUGUGCUAUCAACUGUGAAUUUCUUAAGACAGGAACUGCUUCUAGGUCCGUUUCUAUGCCUCCCCCCCCUUCCCCAACUCCUCUGCACAUGCUCACUGUUGCUAUGCUGGUGUCGUUGCGGUGAUGACCGAUCUCUGUUCCCCCUGGCAACGGCAGCAAAACAACAUACUUCUCUCUCUCUCUCUCUACAUUUGUGAUUUCUCUCUCUCUCUCUCUCUCUCUCUCUCUCUCUAAAAGCAACUUCUCCCCCAUAGCUCUUUCAGGGGGACUACAUAUUGCUGCUAGAUUAAGGUAUCAGAUAGGUAGGUAGACAACGGAAAAAUGUUUUUAUAGAAUUCAUACGUACAGCAAAAUACUUGUUUUUAUUUUUAUUAUGUUGCAAUUAUAAAUGCAAAACUGGAAAUACUUUCACUAAUAACAUGGAGCCUCGUGGAGGAAAAAACACAAAAAGGUUUGUUGAGCAAAAAUAAAAAGAUGUGUACAGAUGUUUUUUGACAUUAUUAUUUGAUUGUGUUUAAAUUAAUAAAAAAUUGAUUUGUGAACUGUUA